rnacentral:rRNA from 1 species
UACGUAGGUGGCAAGCGUUGUCCGGAUUUACUGGGCGUAAAGAGCGCGCAGGCGGUCGUCCAAGUCGCGUGUGAAAGCCCCCGGCUCAACUGGGGAGGGUCGGGCGAUACUGGUCGACUCGAAGGCAGGAGAGGGGAGUGGAAUUCCCGGUGUAGCGGUGGAAUGCGCAGAUAUCAGGAGGAACACCGGUGGCGAAGGCGGGAUCCUGGGCCAGUACUGACGCUGAGGAGCGAAAGCGUGGGGAGCAAACAGG